GUUCAAGGUUCGAUUCCCAGUCCGGCACUCUUUUCUUAUUUUUCCCCGCAGCCCGGAUCCGCGCCCGAGCCGCCGCCAAUGCUCGCCGGCACACCUGCGCCAGCCGCCGCCGGGAGCCACGCUCGCCCCGUGCCGCCCGCGCGCCGGUGCCGACCGCCACCUCGUGCGCACUCCAGCCAUCGUCGUUCGCCCGCGCCAGCAGCCGUGGCCUGCACCGCUCGUCCACCCCGCGGCCUCACUCCCCCGCGCUGACCGCCGCCGCACCGGCCGCCCCAGCGCGCACCGACUUGCGCUGCUCGCCUGCAUCACGGCUUGCCUUCUAGGUUUCUAAUCUGAGGAGAGACAAAGAAAAGGUAUGCUUUUUCUAUGAUUUUUGCCUGUCAACUAUAGAGAGAACAGAGAGGUAAGCAUGGCGGCAGUGAUUGCUUCAAGGUAAUGGUCUAUUUAUGAUGCACUCCUUUAAGGGUUCUCUGAACUGAUGCAUUUCUUUUUACGAUUUGAAUCUGGGAACUUGCCUGUGCGAGUAUGGCACAUCAGAUCAGACCGGGGAUGACUUCUAGCCUGUGUUUGUGCUGAUUAUUCAGUUUUUCAAGGACUUGUAGCUAUCAUUUCUUUUCUGCCAAAGGGUGAUGCAUCUGAUUUCUGUUUAUAUCAUAUAAACUAACCUUCUUUCUUAUUCAAAUGGAAUGUACCUCCAAGAGUAUUGCAAAGCAAAUUGGAGGAAUGGAAGCAUGGUGGGACAAUCUGAUGGGAUGGAUUAGGGCCGUUUACGUGCCUGAGGUCCGGCGACCUGCAAGCACUACCUAGGUUUGGGAGGUCUUGAUAUAACCUUUCUAAUUGCAUUGAGUGAGCUAAAUGUUUCAUGUUUUUUUAGUGUCUAACUGGAGAUAAACAUUUUAGAGCCCCCUAAAUGGUGAUCCAACGACUAUCCAACUGUA